AAAGUACUCCCUCCGUUCGAAAUUACUUGUCUUGGAAAUGGAUAUAAAUAGAUGUAUUUAAAACUAAAAUACGUCUAGAUAUAUCCAUUUCUCCGACAAGUAAUUUCGGGCGGAUGGCAGUACACC
rfam:Triticum aestivum genome assembly, contig: Triticum_aestivum_CS42_TGACv1_scaffold_361951_4DS